AAUUUUUAACCUAACUCUUAUAGCUAAUCUGAUCUCUUAUAGUUUAUAAAUCGUGUAAAGAAUUGGUUUGGUUAAUAUGUUUGUUGAUCUAGAUAUGCAAACCUUGUAGAUCAGACAGUAAUUUGAGAGAUCAAGUCAAGGAAACAGAUACUAUCCAGGUUGAAAGUAGCGGACACAAAAUCAGUGGCCGAUUUGAAACGAAAUAUGUGGUUCGUCAAGUCAAUCGAGAAACAGAAAAUAUAAGUUUCAUAAUUUUCUUUGAGUGUUUGUUUAUUCAUAAUAUCUAAUCUA
rnacentral:lncRNA from 1 species